ACCUGCCCUGGAAGCAUUACAGGUAUGGCUGCUGUGUCACAUGUACGUCAGUAGGUGGCGGGGAAGAGAGGCUGUGUCUAAACUCAGUAUUCUGAUCUGUGAACAUCUGAAUGAUUAGUAACUAACAUU